AGGCGGGCGAGGUUGCUUCGGUAACUGAGCUAGCGGCGGACGGGUGAGUAAUGCUUAGGAAUCUGCCUAUUAGUGGGGGACAACAUUCCGAAAGGAAUGCUAAUACCGCAUACGCCCUACGGGGGAAAGCAGGGGAUCUUCGGACCUUGCGCUAAUAGAUGAGCCUAAGUCAGAUUAGCUAGUUGGUGGGGUAAAGGCCUACCAAGGCGACGAUCUGUAGCGGGUCUGAGAGGAUGAUCCGCCACACUGGGACUGAGACACGGCCCAGACUCCUACGGGAGGCAGCAGUGGGGAAUAUUGGACAAUGGGCGCAAGCCUGAUCCAGCCAUGCCGCGUGUGUGAAGAAGGCCUUUUGGUUGUAAAGCACCUUAAGCGAGGAGGAGGCUACUUGGAUUAAUACUCUGGGAUAGUGGACGUUACUCGCAGAAUAAGCACCGGCUAACUCUGUGCCAGCAGCCGCGGUAAUACAGAGGGUGCGAGCGUUAAUCGGAUUUACUGGGCGUAAAGCGUGCGUAGGCGGCUUCUUAAGUCGGAUGUGAAAUCCCUGAGCUUAACUUAGGAAUUGCAUUCGAUACUGGGAAGCUAGAGUAUGGGAGAGGAUGGUAGAAUUCCAGGUGUAGCGGUGAAAUGCGUAGAGAUCUGGAGGAAUACCGAUGGCGAAGGCAGCCAUCUGGCCUAAUACUGACGCUGAGGUACGAAAGCAUGGGGAGCAAACAGGAUUAGAUACCCUGGUAGUCCAUGCCGUAA
rnacentral:rRNA from 1 species